UAGGGAAUCUUCCGCAAUGGACGCAAGUCUGACGGAGCAACGCCGCGUGAGUGAAGAAGGAUUUCGGUUCGUAAAACUCUGUUGUUAGAGAAGAACAGCGCAUAGAGUAACUGUUAUGCGUGUGACGGUAUCUAACCAGAAAGCCACGGCUAACUACGUGCCAGCAGCCGCGGUAAUACGUAGGUGGCAAGCGUUGUCCGGAUUUAUUGGGCGUAAAGCGAGCGCAGGCGGUCAAUUAAUUCUGAUGUGAAAGCCCCCGGCUCAACCGGGGAGGGUCAUUAGAAACUGGUUGAAUGGAGUGCAGAAGAGGAGAGUGGAAUUCCAUGUGUAGCGGUGAAAAGCGUAGAUAUAUGUAGGAACACCAGUGGCGAAGGCGAAUCUCUGGUCUGUAAAUGACGCUGAGGCUCGAAAGCGUGGGUAGCAAACAGG
rnacentral:rRNA from 1 species